CAGGAGAAACAAACUUUUGUUGUGAUAAUCAGGCUAAUCCGGGGGGACUAAAACUGCAGGGCAGAGAGACCAGUAAGUGUUGGGGGGUCCCGAUCCAGUCCCCAGCUUCUAGCCGCCCACCCCCUUAAGGCUGCCAUUGCUGGGAGCCCCCUCCAUCUGCAACUUCAACUUGUAAAGAUUGUAGAUAAAACCUGUACAGCUGGGUGCCUUAGGGCAAAAAGUUACACACAGGUACAUGAAAUACGUUAUGAAAGAAAACAUGCAAAAGAAACCCCAGUGGGUAAAACCAGGGAACAAAAGCCUGAGCAGCCAAAACCCCAGCCAGCUGUUGCUCCCACAAAGAGGGAAGAGUUACAAUAUCUCAUCCUUCACAUUUCUCCUAGGAACUACCAGGGCCUGAUGAAAUUGGGGCAGAUUGAAAAGUGUGAAAAUAUUUUUGAAAAGAAAAAACAUCCACAACUUGAUUCCAUUUUAUUGACAGCAUCAUUAUUGGUACUCGCCUGGCUUGCCUUCUCUGGCAGAAGAGAGGCAGACAGAGGAGGAUGAGGACCACCAGCUGUGCCCCCACAAGACUGGGCUCCGGGCCAAUCCUCCAGAUAUCUGAGACCCACAUCCUUCCCCAGAUCAACCGCCUUCAAAGUGGACCAGACCCACAUCCCUCCCCAGAAUGACCAUCCGUGACCUGGGCAGCGCAGCCAGCUCAGCCAGGAAGGAGAACUCUUGAAACUUUCUUUGGCUUUUCAUCUCCCUGUUCUUCCCCUAAUUGUUGGGGGCUGAAAAUACCUGGCCGUGGGAAGCGAAGAGGCAGGCCCUGGAUUCUACCUCUCGGGAGCCCACAGCUCACCCCCAGACGGUCGCCUACGGCCUGAGGGAGAGCUGCAUUCGGGUCUGACUGUGGUGUGUUGGUCAAGGUGUCGGAUUCUCACUCGGGGCGGGAGAGAGUGCGGAGAAGACCUUGGAAAGGUGAAGUCGGGGGCAGGACUUUUUCAGGGACAGCGAUGGACAGCUGCUGCUCUCUUGACAUUGGACGUCAGGGAGGGACUCCAUGAUGGACACAGGAAUGGGUGAGUAGACCUAACUAAAAACCCUCCCUAUCCCUCUUUGCGUCGUCUCUGCCUGGAUGUUAGACCCUAUCUACGCGGAUUCAGUCCGUGCGUGGGAGUGUGCUUCCCAACCCAAACUAAUAUAGGAAAUGGCUAAAGGUCACCAGAUUCUUUUCCCAAGUCCAAGAUGGCCACCUGACAGAUAACCCAAAAGGUACAUGCCUUUCUUCCCUUCUUUCAGGAAAAUUUGGCCGGGGCAACCAGCAUUUUACACACCCGGAGACUGGUGUUAAGGAAAAGUUAGCACAUGUGACUCCAUUUUGGUUUGGGGCCCACCAUUGUUUAAAUGCCAGCACAUCAUACACCAGGAGGAGUGAUCCUUAGAUACUGAAUCCCUGUGAAAAUCCUCCU